UACGUAGGGUGCGAGCGCUGUCCGGAAUUAUUGGGCGUAAAGAGCUUGUAGGCGGUUUGUCGCGUCUGCUGUGAAAAUCCGGGGCUCAACCCCGGACUUGCAGUGGGUACGGGCAGACUAGAGUGUGGUAGGGGAGACUGGAAUUCCUGGUGUAGCGGUGAAAUGCGCAGAUAUCAGGAGGAACACCGAUGACGAAGGCAGGUCUCUGGGCCACUACUGACGCUGAGAAGCGAAAGCAUGGGGAGCGAACAGG
rnacentral:rRNA from 1 species